GACGAACGCUGGCGGCGUGCCUAACACAUGCAAGUCGAACGGGGCCCAAGGAAGCUUGCUUCCUGACGACCUAGUGGCGAACGGGUGAGUAACACGUGAGAAACCUGCCUCGGAGUGGGGAAUAACUCGGGGAAACUCGAGCUAAUACCGCAUACCUUCAGAUGAUCGCAUGGUCGACUGAAGAAAGAAUUUCGCUCUGAGAGGGUCUCGCGGCCUAUCAGCUUGUUGGUGGGGUAACGGCCUACCAAGGCAACGACGGGUAGCUGGUUUGAGAGAACGAUCAGCCACACUGGGACUGAGACACGGCCCAGACUCCUACGGGAGGCAGCAGUGGGGAAUCUUGCGCAAUGGGCGAAAGCCUGACGCAGCAACGCCGCGUGCGGGAUGACGGCCUUCGUGGUUGUAAACCGCUUUCAGCAGGGACGAAAUUGACGGUACCUGCAGAAGAAGCCCCGGCUAACUACGUGCCAGCAGCCGCGGUAAAAC
rnacentral:rRNA from 1 species